AGAGUUUGAUCAUGGCUCAGGACGAACGCUGGCGGCGUGCCUAACACAUGCAAGUCAGGGAGAAUGGGGUAGCAAUAUCCCUAGUAAACCGGCGCAAGGGUGAGUAACACGUAAGCAAUCUGCCUUUUGGACGGGAAUAACUUCGAGAAAUCGAGGCUAAUACCCGAUAAUGCAGCGGCAUCGCAUGAUGACAGUUGUUAAAGGCCGUAAGGUGCCAAAAGAUGAGCUUGCGUCCCAUUAGCUUGUUGGCGGGGUAACGGCCCACCAAGGCGACGAUGGGUAGCUGGUCUGAGAGGACGAUCAGCCACACUGGAACUGAGACACGGUCCAGACUCCUACGGGAGGCAGCAGUGAGGAAUAUUGCGCAAUGUCCGAAAGGGUGACGCAGCGACGCCGCGUGAAGGAUGAAGGCCCUAUGGGUCGUAAACUUCUUUUGCGAGGGAAGAAUUUCCUGCUAUAGGCAGGAUUGACUGUACCUCGAGAAAAAG
rnacentral:rRNA from 1 species